AUACGAAGGGCCCGAGCGUUAUUCGGAAUCACUGGGCUUAAAGCGUACGUAGGCGGACUCGCAGGCACCUUGUGAAAUCCCUCGGCUCAACCGAGGAACUGCUUGGUGAACCGCGCGUCUUGAGACAAGUAGGGGCUGUCGGAACGAUAGGUGGAGCGGUGAAAUGCGUUGAUAUCUAUCGGAACGCCGAAGGCGAAGGCAGACAGCUGGGCUUUUUCUGACGCUGAGGUACGAAAGCGUGGGGAGCGAACGGGAUUAGAAACCCCAGUAGUCC
rnacentral:rRNA from 1 species